rnacentral:sRNA from 1 species
CGAACGGGCCUUUCAGGCAUCCUCUCCCAAAUAAACUUCCAUGGGCCGGUCUUUGGAUCGGCCUUUUUUUUUGCGCUUU